UACAGAGGGUGCGAGCGUUAAUCGGAAUUACUGGGCGUAAAGCGUGCGUAGGUGGUUUAUUAAGUUAGCUGUGAAAUCCCUGGGCUCAACCUGGGCAGGUCAGCUAAGACUGGUAGACUGGAGUAUAGGAGAGGGUAGUGGAAUUUCCGGUGUAGCGGUGAAAUGCGUAGAGAUCGGAAGGAACACCAGUGGCGAAGGCGGCUACCUGGCCUAAUACUGACACUGAGGCACGAAAGCGUGGGGAGCAAACAGG
rnacentral:rRNA from 1 species